UUGAACGCUGGCGGCAGGCCUAACACAUGCAAGUCGAGCGGUAGCACAGAGAGCUUGCUCUCGGGUGACGAGCGGCGGACGGGUGAGUAAUGUCUGGGAAACUGCCUGAUGGAGGGGGAUAACUACUGGAAACGGUAGCUAAUACCGCAUAAUGUCGCAAGACCAAAGUGGGGGACCUUCGGGCCUCAUGCCAUCAGAUGUGCCCAGAUGGGAUUAGCUAGUAGGUGGGGUAACGGCUCACCUAGGCGACGAUCCCUAGCUGGUCUGAGAGGAUGACCUGCCACACUGGAACUGAGACACGGUCCAGACUCCUACGGGAGGCAGCAGUGGGGAAUAUUGCACAAUGGGCGCAAGCCUGAUGCAGCCAUGCCGCGUGUGUGAAGAAGGCCUUCGGGUUGUAAAGCACUUUCAGCGGGGAGGAAGGCGUUAAGGUUAAUAACCUUGGCGAUUGACGUUACCCGCAGAAGAAGCACCGGCUAACUCCGUGCCAGCAGCCGCGGUAAUACGGAGGGUGCAAGCGUUAAUCGGAAUUACUGGGCGUAAAGCGCACGCAGGCGGUCUGUCAAGUCGGAUGUGAAAUCCCCGGGCUCAACCUGGGAACUGCAUUCGAAACUGGCAGGCUAGAGUCUUGUAGAGGGGGGUAGAAUUCCAGGUGUAGCGGUGAAAUGCGUAGAGAUCUGGAGGAAUACCGGUGGCGAAGGCGGCCCCCUGGACAAAGACUGACGCUCAGGUGCGAAAGCGUGGGGAGCAAACAGGAUUAGAUACCCUGGUAGUCCACGCCGUAAACGAUGUCGAUUUGGAGGUUGUGCCCUUGAGGCGUGGCUUCCGGAGCUAACGCGUUAAAUCGACCGCCUGGGGAGUACGGCCGCAAGGUUAAAACUCAAAUGAAUUGACGGGGGCCCGCACAAGCGGUGGAGCAUGUGGUUUAAUUCGAUGCAACGCGAAGAACCUUACCUGGUCUUGACAUCCACAGAACUUUCCAGAGAUGGAUUGGUGCCUUCGGGAACUGUGAGACAGGUGCUGCAUGGCUGUCGUCAGCUCGUGUUGUGAAAUGUUGGGUUAAGUCCCGCAACGAGCGCAACCCUUAUCCUUUGUUGCCAGCGGUUCGGCCGGGAACUCAAAGGAGACUGCCAGUGAUAAACUGGAGGAAGGUGGGGAUGACGUCAAGUCAUCAUGGCCCUUACGACCAGGGCUACACACGUGCUACAAUGGCAUAUACAAAGAGAAGCGACCUCGCGAGAGCAAGCGGACCUCAUAAAGUAUGUCGUAGUCCGGAUUGGAGUCUGCAACUCGACUCCAUGAAGUCGGAAUCGCUAGUAAUCGUAGAUCAGAAUGCUACGGUGAAUACGUUCCCGGGCCUUGUACACACCGCCCGUCACACCAUGGGAGUGGGUUGCAAAAGAAGUAGGUAGCUUAACCUUCGGGAGGGCGCUUACCACUUUGUGAUUCAUGACUGGGGUG
rnacentral:rRNA from 1 species